UGGGGCUGAUUGAAUUUAAGUCUGCCGCUCUGCACUUUACCUGGCGCUGUAGCCUAUUAACGUAGAGGGCGAGGGAAUAAAAGGGGGCCGUGUCCCUCUCUUGUCCUCUCACUUCCUGGCUCGAAGGCCCUCCCGCUUCCCGGCCUUCCGCUUCCUCCUUUGUACUCGAGACGGUGGUCCAUUGUGGUUAAGGGGAUGGUGGCGAUUCUCCCUGUUUGCCAAAGACAUUAAAAGGACAAGCUGAUCCCGAACGCAUCACGCACCACAGACGCUCCAGUGAAGUACGGAGCGGUGCCGAGGCUCCUCGUCACUGUCCUCCUCGGAAGGGUUCCUGUUGUUCGGGACCCGUGGCUAACGGUGGAUAUAAAUUGCUGCGAGCCGACAGUGGUGGCGGUGUCCUGGGUGGUGGUUCCUCUUUGUGUGCUGUGAUUCUGGAUUUGGUUGCUUUGCACUUCACCUUUGUGUGUGUCACGUGAGCGUGGGGUGCCUUUUGUUUUGGACUCCUUCCCCCCACAUUGUCCCUCACCGUUGGU